rnacentral:rRNA from 1 species
AUUGAACGCUGGCGGCAUGCUUUACACAUGCAAGUCGAACGGUAACAGGUCUUCGGAUGCUGACGAGUGGCGAACGGGUGAGUAAUGCAUCGGAACGUGCCCAGUCGUGGGGGAUAACGCAGCGAAAGCUGUGCUAAUACCGCAUACGAUCUAUGGAUGAAAGCGGGGGACCGUAAGGCCUCGCGCGAUUGGAGCGGCCGAUGUCAGAUUAGGUAGUUGGUGGGGUAAAGGCCCACCAAGCCAACGAUCUGUAGCUGGUCUGAGAGGACGACCAGCCACACUGGGACUGAGACACGGCCCAGACUCCUACGGGAGGCAGCAGUGGGGAAUUUUGGACAAUGGGCGCAAGCCUGAUCCAGCAAUGCCGCGUGCAGGAAGAAGGCCUUCGGGUUGUAAACUGCUUUUGUACGGAACGAAACGGUCUGGGUUAAUACCCUGGGCUAAUGACGGUACCGUAAGAAUAAGCACCGGCUAACUACGUGCCAGCCGCCGCAGUAAUAC